GAUGAAGAACGUAGCGAAAUGCGAUAAGUAAUGUGAAUUGCAGAAUUCAGUGAAUCAUCGAAUCUUUGAACGCACCUUGCACCCUUUGGCAUUCCGAAGGGUAUGCUCGUUUGAGUGUCAUUGUACUCUCACACUCUCCGAUCCUAUGGAUUCGGGGAGCGGUGGACUUGGGUGUUGCUGCCUUUCCUUGUGGCUCACCUCAAAUGUGUCAGUGCACCUCUUGGUUGGACAUAGUACGGCGUGAUAAGUGUCUUCGCCGGCACCUCGCAAGAGGGUGGCCGAUCGGGAGCUCUGUGCUUCAAACUGUCUUCGGACAACAUCUGACAACUUGACCUCAAAUCGAGUAGGACUACCCGCUGAACUUAAGCAUAUCAAUAAGCGGAGGA
rnacentral:misc_RNA from 1 species